GGGACUGUAGCUCAGUGGUCAGAGCAAGCGACUCAUAAUCGCCCGGUCGGGAGUUCAAUCCUCCCCAGUCCUA
rnacentral:tRNA from 1 species